GCGGGCCGGAGCUAGUGGUCCUAAACAUUUCACAAUUGCGCUACAGAACUGUUGAACUGUUAAGAACCACUGGCCCCAAC
rnacentral:pre_miRNA from 1 species